ACAAAGGAUGAAAAGAAGAACAAAAACCCUAGAGUGAAAAUUCAAGAGAAAAUUGAUGGAUUUCAAGUAAUCAAGCCAUCAAGGGUGAAAUUUCUUAACUCUAGCUUGUGAUCUAUCUUUCCUAUGCAUUAUUUUGCAUUUUUCAUGGUUGAAUCACAAGAUAUCAUGAAGGAUAGUGUGCUGAUAAAACCCUAGGAGAGAGAAUUUGAUGAUGAUUUAGAUAGAUUUUUAAGAUAUAUGGAUGUUUUUAGUUGUUUAUAGUGUUAAGUGUAAGAAUUAAGCUUGAAAUUCACAUAUUCCUCAUGAGUUCAUCAUUGGGCGAAUCUUCCUUAUAGAGUGUUGAUGGUGGAUUUGAUUUUAUUUCAAGUGAAUUGGUUAGAAAAUGAUGAAUUAUAGUGAGAAAAUCAAGUAGGAAAAAUCAUAGUGUUGAUGCACUCACCAUGGCCGAAAUUCUCAAGAAGAAAUGUGAGGAUGAUUUUGCCAUAUUUCAAGUUAUUUAAUUUGUGUUUGAUGGUUUGGAGAAUUGGAAGAAAAAUGGAGUUAAUUGGAGUUAAAUUGGACAUAUUGGCCAAUUAAUCGAGUGAUAGAUCGAAUUAGGCCAAUACCAUUUUAUUUAGGUACACAAUUGAAUUUGUGUGGAACACCGUGUUUAGAUGAUAAUCCGAACAAUUUACAUCCCAUUUCAUGCAUUAGUAUAAAGCCUGAAUUGGUUUUAUAACAAUUCAGCACAAAUGUAGUAAAUGGCUUAUUGUGCAUUAUGUUUAGGUGGUGAGCAUUCUGGCAAAAGUAAAGAGAUAGUACCCGAGGAUCAAGAAUCGGAGUACUCGAAACUCAAUUUCCAUUAUAGUGAGUAACCUUAUCAUCAUCUUGAUUAUCUGAAGUGAAUUUUAAUUCGUUUUUGUGAUUUUAUGGAAAAUGAGUUUAAAUGGUAAAUCUUUAUGUUUUAAAAGCAAAAUGUGAUUAAAUGAAAUGAUUUUAUAAAAUUGUCUUGAAAUUGAAUGAUGGUUUUGGAAAAUGGAGUAAUUGGAGACUAAUUGUUGUGUUGUAAAUUAUGGUUUAAAUUGAAUGGCUUAUGAUAAUGUGGGCAUGAGUGGCUGGAUUUGGUAAAUGUGCUAAAAAUGUAUGAACUGUUGAUUUGCCUUGAGAGGCUGUAAAAUAAAAUAAUUGCCAUGUCAUGUUGUUGAAUUUUAUUGAAUUUGUGGGUUAUAAAUUGGUUGCUGCAGUGGACGAGAUCCAUGGACCAACCUAUUAUAGGGGCAUGGUAACCCUAUUAUAUUCUUACCUCAGUAUGAGAGGCGCAGAUGGAUAACUCCUGAGGUUAACACUUUAGAGUUCACUUCACGCUAAACCACCACAUGAGGGUGAACUCAGGCAACGCCAAGGAACGGCUAUGUUUUCAAAAUAAAAACAUGAUUUAUGCGUACAUGACUUUUUAGCAGCCUUGGUGAAACUCAGUUGGGAUAGCCCUCGGCCAAGGUAUCCCUGAUAACUGAGUAUGAUAAUGAUUUUGGCACAAGCCAAACUUUUCAGGAAAUCAUAAGCCUUGUUGUUUAUUUGGGUGAAAUGAAUCUAUUUUAUCUUAUUAAAAUAAGUUCGAAAUGCUGUGAAUCAUUUUUAUUUUAAACUAUUUUAUCUGUCUUUAUUUACUCGAUUUUAGAUAUUUAAGAUGAUAUUUGUUUACUCACUGGGAUUAUAUAAUAUCACCACCCUCCUUUCCACCCAUUUCAGGCUCAGGAUAGUCGGUAGAUAGCUCACUUUGUUAAGGGCUACAGUUGGACUUGCAUCCUCAAAAACUGUAGGUUUACCGCUUUUGAUACUUUUGAUCGUUCGUGGGUCCACGUGUCACUGUAAAUUAAAUUUUAUAUUUUGGUUAUCUGUAUUACAAUAUGUAUGAAUUUAUUUAGCUUUUACGCUACAAAAAUUAUUUAUCGGUAACUCUAUAAAUAUUGUUUUAUAAGAAAAUAGAAUAUUUUAUUGAAUAUUUUUAUUAUAUUCAAA
rnacentral:lncRNA from 1 species